CCUACGGGCGGCUGCAGUGGGGAAUAUUGCACAAUGGGCGCAAGCCUGAUGCAGCCAUGCCGCGUGUGUGAAGAAGGCCUUCGGGUUGUAAAGCACUUUCAGCGGGGAGGAAGGCGUUAAGGUUAAUAACCUUGUCGAUUGACGUUACCCGCAGAAGAAGCACCGGCUAACUCCGUGCCAGCAGCCGCGGUAAUACGGAGGGUGCAAGCGUUAAUCGGAAUUACUGGGCGUAAAGCGCACGCAGGCGGUCUGUCAAGUCGGAUGUGAAAUCCCCGGGCUCAACCUGGGAACUGCAUUCGAAACUGGCAGGCUAGAGUCUUGUAGAGGGGGGUAGAAUUCCAGGUGUAGCGGUAAAAUGCGUAGAGAUCUGGAGGAAUACCGGGGGCGAAGGCGGCCCCCUGGACAAAGACUGACGCUCAGGUGCGAAAGCGUGGGGAGCAAACAGGAUUAGAUACCGAGUAGUC
rnacentral:rRNA from 1 species